rnacentral:rRNA from 1 species
CCUACGGGAGGCUGCAGUGGGGAAUAUUGCGCAAUGGAGGAAACUCUGAUGCAGCAACGCCGCGUGAAUGAUGAAGGUCUUCGGCUCGUAAAGUUCUAUCCUAAGGGAAGAAGAAAGUGACGGUACCUUAGGAAUAAGCCUCGGCUAACUACGUGCCAGCAGCCGCGGUAAUACGUAGGAGGCGAGCGUUAUCCGGAAUGACUGGGCGUAAAGGGUGCGUAGGUGGCAUGGUAAGCUAGUAGCGAAACUCCUGGGCUUAACCUUGGAAUUACAACUGAAACUGUUGGACUUGAGUGCAGGAGGGGAAAGCGGAAUUCCUAGUGUAGCGGUGGAAUGCGUAGAUAUUAGGAGGAACACCAGUGGCGAAGGCGGGUUGCUAGACUGUAACUGACACUGAGGCACGAAAGCGUGGGGAGCGAACAGGAUUAGAUACCCGUGUAGUC